rnacentral:lncRNA from 1 species
CUUCUGACCAACAGUCAUAUAAUCAAUUUAGUAUAUUCAUAUUUUAAGUUGAGUAGUUUGUUCUCUUUUUUUCUUAAUAUGGUUUGUAUUGAUGAGUCUGUCUUUCAACAGGUCUGACCUGGGAACAGCAGGGUGCACCAUGUCAGUAUGCAACCAGUAUGAAUACAGGGGACAUACUAGCAGUGGAUUUAAGCCGGAGCAGCCUUCUGCAUACACAGACCUAUGGUUACCCCCUAGCAGAACAAAAGAAGUUUCCAAUGCUGUGGUCUCUCCAUCACCUGAACAACGAACCAGGCCUAAACACUGGACUUCAAAUGCCCAGCUCCAAGGAGAUGGGGCAGGGGCCCAGGGAUGAUCUGCAGGGUUUUCUCCCACCUUUGGCCAGCGGUUUUAGUGGGACUCAUGGGGUCCUUGUAAAGGGUGUUAAUGGUAAACAUUUCUGUGGAAGUGGGGGAGGGGAGGUUGCUUCAUCAGAUAAACGUAUUAAAGCAAUACUUAUAAUAGAGGGA